ensembl:snRNA U4 U4 spliceosomal RNA
AGCUUUGUUCAGUGGCAGUCUUACAGCUAAUGAGGCUUAUAUGAGGCAAGAUAAUUGCUAAUUGAAAACUUUUCCCAAUACUCCAUUGUGAUGUCUUGCAAUAUAGUCAGCAUUGGCAAUUUCUGGUAGUCUCUACAGAGC